rnacentral:rRNA from 1 species
UACGUAGGGACCAAGCGUUGUUCGGAUUUACUGGGCGUAAAGGGCGCGUAUGCGGCUUGACAAGUCACUUGUGAAAUCUCCGGGCUUAACUCGGAACGGCCAAGUGAAACUGUCAUGCUAGAGUGCAGAAGGGGCAAUCGGAAUUCUUGGUGUAGCGGUGAAAUGCGUAGAUAUCAAGAGGAACACCUGAGGCGAAGGCGGGUUGCUAGGCUGACACUGACGCUGAGGCGCGAAAGCUAGGGUAGCAAACGGG